AAUACCGCAUAACACUUACGAGUCAAAGCAGCAAUGCGCUCGGGGAGGAGGUCGCGGCCGAUUAGCUAGUUGGCGGGGUAAUGGCCCACCUAGGCGAUGAUCGGUAUCCGGCCUGAGAGGGCGCACGGACACACUGGAACUGAAACACGGUCCAGACUCCUACGGGAGGCAGCAGUGGGGAAUUUUGCGCAAUGGGGGAAACCCUGACGCAGCAACGCCGCGUGGAGGAUGAAAUAUCUUGGUAUGUAAACUCCUUUCGAUGGGGAAGAUUAUGACGGUACCCAUAGAAGAAGCCCCGGCUAACUUCGUGCCAGCAGCCGCGGUAAUACGAGGGGGGCAAGCGUUGUUCGGAUUUAUUGGGCGUAAAGGGUGCGUAGG
rnacentral:rRNA from 1 species